rnacentral:rRNA from 1 species
GACCCCGCACAAGCGGCGGAGCAUGCGGCUUAAUUCGAUGAUACCCGUAGAACCUUACCUGGACUUGACAUAUAGGGUCAAGCUAUAGAGAUAUAGUGUGCAUUAGCGCCCUAUACAGGUGGUGCAUGGCUGUCGUCAGCUCGUUUCGUGAGAUGUUGGGUUAAGUCCCGCAACGAGCGCAACCCCCUGUCCUAUGUUGCCAGCAUUUAGUUGGGGACUCAUAGGAGACUGCCGGUGAUAAACCGGAGGAAGGUGGGGACGACGUCAAGUCAUCAUGCCCCUUAUGUCCAGGGCUGCACGCAUGCUACAAUGGCAAGUACAACGAGUCGCAAUACCGCGAGGUGGAGCAAAUCUCUUAAAGCUUGUCUCAGUUCGUAUAGGAGUCUGCAACUCGACUCCUUGAAGUUGGAGUCGCUAGUAA